rnacentral:rRNA from 1 species
GUGCCAGCCGCCGCGGUAAUACCGGCAGCCCGAGUGAUGGCCGAUCUUAUUGGGCCUAAAGCGUCCGUAGCUGGCUGCGCAAGUCCGUCGGGAAAUCCACUCGCCCAACGCGUGGGCGUCCAGCGGAAACUGUCUGGCUUGGGGCCGGAGGACUCGAGGGGUACGUCCGGGGUAGGAGCGAAAUCCCGUAAUCCUGGACGGACCACCGGUGGCGAAAGCGCCUCGAGAGGACGGACCCGACGGUGAGGAACGAAAGCUAAGAUCGCGAACCGGAUUAGAUACCCGGGUAGUCC